UAAAAGUUUUUUUGUUUGGAGA
rnacentral:snRNA from 1 species